rnacentral:misc_RNA from 1 species
GGAAAAUAGAAUUACUAAAAACAAAAUAACUUAUAUGGUGACGAAACGAGCCGUUCGAUGGUAGGUUCGUAAUUGGAGGCCAUCAAAGGUCAAGUUACGUCACGCGUGGCGAAGCGAUAACGAAACAACCAGCGCCCCACCUUCCCAACUCUGACACAUCCACAUGACGUUCUGAUUUUCAAGUCGGCAGCGGCUCGUCACCGCUCGUGGUGCUCUCUCGGCCUCAUAGGGACCCACGCGCUACAACCGAUAGAAAACCAGAGACGCCUCUUUUGGGUCCCACCCACCAUCCAAAUCCCCGAGUCGUAAUGUCUUCCCUGUUACGGCGGCAGUAAGCAGUUUUCCCUUCUCACUUCAACCGUUCAACGACGCGACGAUUUUCACAUCCUUGACUACGCUCCUAACCAGC